AAUCAAGCGUUUAAGGGCGUGUAGUGGAUGCCUUGGCACUGAAAGCCGAUGAAGGACGUGAUAUACUGCGAUAAGUUUCGGGGAGCUGUAUGUAAGCUUUGAUCCGAAAAUUUCCGAAUGGGGAAACCCACCACUUUAUGUGGUACUUUAAACUGAAUACAUAGGUUUAAAGAGACAACCUGGAGAACUGAAACAUCUAAGUAACCAGAGGAAAAGAAAUCAAUUGAGAUUCCGUUAGUAGUGGCGAGCGAACGCGGAACAGGCCAGUAGUUUUGUUAAAAAAAUUUGAAUAGUUUGGAAAUGCUAACCAUAGAGGGUGAUAGUCCCGUAUGAGUAAUGUUUAACAAAAUUCUUGAGUAAAGCGGGACACGAGAAAUCCUGCUCGAAUAUAGGGGGACCACCCUCUAAGCCUAAAUACUCUUCAGUGACCGAUAGUGAACUAGUACCGUGAGGGAAAGGUGAAAAGAACCCCUAUUAGGGGAGUGAAAUAGAACCUGAAACUGCAUGCCUACAAUCAGUCCGAGCCCUUUUUAGGGUGAGGGCGUACCUUUUGUAUAAUGGGUCAGUGACUUAAUUUAUUAAGCAAGCUUAAGCCAUCUAGGUGUAGGCGUAGCGAAAGCAAGUCUUAAUAGGGCGAUUAGUUUAAUGAAUUAGACCCGAAAACGAAUGAGCUUACCAUGAGCAGGUUGAAAGUUGGGUAACACCAACCGGAGGACCGAACCAGUUGACGUUGAAAAGUCUUUGGAUGACUUGUGGUAAGGGGUGAAAGGCCAACCAAAUUCGUAGAUAGCUGGUUUUCCGCGAAAACUAUUUAGGUAGUGCGUCGAAUAAAUAGAUGUUUAGAGGUAGAGCACUAAAUGGGCUAGGGGGAAGAGAUUCUUACCAAACCUAAUAAAACUCCGAAUGCUAGACAUUGUUCUUCGGCAGACAGACUGUGGGUGCUAAGGUCCAUGGUCGAGAGGGAAAGAGCCCAGACCACCAGAUAAGGUCCCAAAAUCAUGAUUAAGUGUGAAAGGAUGUGGAAAUUCCAUAACAGCCGGGAGGUUGGCUUAGAAGCAGCCAUCCU
rnacentral:rRNA from 1 species